ACUGAGGUUGUGAGAGAUUAAGUGACUUGCCCAGGGUCACACAACUAUUAAGUGUCCGAAGCAAGAUUUCAGCUCAGAGCUUUCUGAUUUCAAGUGUAACACUCCAUCCACUGUGCCACUUAGCUGCCGUGUUGAAGGCCAUGGCUGUCUCUGGGAGAGAAAAGGUCAUAGGAUCACAGAUCUUACCGGCCUUCAUAUCCACGUGGGCAGGCUGUACAACGAUAGUCAUCGAGUCCUUCUGAGACGCAAGAAGGGCUAAAACUGAAGAGGUGCAGGGUGAGAGAAAGAGGAAAAAAAGGUUUGUAAGUGGAUCAUGUCACAGCAGCUUCAUCAAGUCAAGUGUUUCUCAUAUUCAAGGUGAAAGAUGACCAUUACCUCCAAUUGAUCCACUUACCUGGCUUUCAGUGGAGGCCCCUCGAAAUUUGUGCUCUUCACCAG